GAUGAACGCUGGCGGCGUGCCUAAUACAUGCAAGUCGAGCGAACGGACGAGAAGCUUGCUUCUCUGAUGUUAGCGGCGGACGGGUGAGUAACACGUGGAUAACCUACCUAUAGGACUGGGAUAACUUCGGGAAACCGGAGCUAAUACCGGAUAAUAUUUUGAACCGCAUGGUUCAAAAGUGAAAGACGGUCUUGCUGUCACUUAUAGAUGGAUCCGCGCUGCAUUAGCUAGUUGGUAAGGUAACGGCUUACCAAGGCAACGAUGCAUAGCCGACCUGAGAGGGUGAUCGGCCACACUGGAACUGAGACACGGUCCAGACUCCUACGGGAGGCAGCAGUAGGGAAUCUUCCGCAAUGGGCGAAAGCCUGACGGAGCAACGCCGCGUGAGUGAUGAAGGUCUUCGGAUCGUAAAACUCUGUUAUUAGGGAAGAACAUAUGUGUAAGUAACUGUGCACAUCUUGACGGUACCUAAUCAGAAAGCCACGGCUAACUACGUGCCAGCAGCCGCGGUAAUACGUAGGUGGCAAGCGUUAUCCGGAAUUAUUGGGCGUAAAGCGCGCGUAGGCGGUUUUUUAGGUCUGAUGUGAAAGCCCACGGCUCAACCGUGGAGGGUCAUUGGAAACUGGAAAACUUGAGUGCAGAAGAGGAAAGUGGAAUUCCAUGUGUAGCGGUGAAAUGCGCAGAGAUAUGGAGGAACACCAGUGGCGAAGGCGACUUUCUGGUCUGUAACUGACGCUGAUGUGCGAAAGCGUGGGGAUCAAACAGGAUUAGAUACCCUGGUAGUCCACGCCGUAAACGAUGAGUGCUAAGUGUUAGGGGGUUUCCGCCCCUUAGUGCUGCAGCUAACGCAUUAAGCACUCCGCCUGGGGAGUACGACCGCAAGGUUGAAACUCAAAGGAAUUGACGGGGACCCGCACAAGCGGUGGAGCAUGUGGUUUAAUUCGAAGCAACGCGAAGAACCUUACCAAAUCUUGACAUCCUUUGACAACUCUAGAGAUAGAGCCUUCCCCUUCGGGGGACAAAGUGACAGGUGGUGCAUGGUUGUCGUCAGCUCGUGUCGUGAGAUGUUGGGUUAAGUCCCGCAACGAGCGCAACCCUUAAGCUUAGUUGCCAUCAUUAAGUUGGGCACUCUAAGCUGACUGCCGGUGACAAACCGGAGGAAGGUGGGGAUGACGUCAAAUCAUCAUGCCCCUUAUGAUUUGGGCUACACACGUGCUGCAAUGGACAAUACAAAGGGCAGCGAAACCGCGAGGUCAAGCAAAUCCCAUAAAGUUGUUCUCAGUUCGGAUUGUAGUCUGCAACUCGACUACAUGAAGCUGGAAUCGCUAGUAAUCGUAGAUCAGCAUGCUACGGUGAAUACGUUCCCGGGUCU
rnacentral:rRNA from 1 species